rnacentral:rRNA from 1 species
AAAUUGAAGAGUUUGAUCAUGGCUCAGAUUGAACGCUGGCGGCAGGCCUAACACAUGCAAGUCGAGCGGAAACGAGUUAUCUGAACCUUCGGGGAACGAUAACGGCGUCGAGCGGCGGACGGGUGAGUAAUGCCUAGGAAAUUGCCCUGAUGUGGGGGAUAACCAUUGGAAACGAUGGCUAAUACCGCAUGAUGCCUACGGGCCAAAGAGGGGGACCUUCGGGCCUCUCGCGUCAGGAUAUGCCUAGGUGGGAUUAGCUAGUUGGUGAGGUAAGGGCUCACCAAGGCGACGAUCCCUAGCUGGUCUGAGAGGAUGAUCAGCCACACUGGAACUGAGACACGGUCCAGACUCCUACGGGAGGCAGCAGUGGGGAAUAUUGCACAAUGGGCGCAAGCCUGAUGCAGCCAUGCCGCGUGUGUGAAGAAGGCCUUCGGGUUGUAAAGCACUUUCAGUCGUGAGGAAGGUGGUGUAGUUAAUAGCUGCAUUAUUUGACGUUAGCGACAGAAGAAGCACCGGCUAACUCCGUGCCAGCAGCCGCGGUAAUACGGAGGGUGCGAGCGUUAAUCGGAAUUACUGGGCGUAAAGCGCAUGCAGGUGGUUUGUUAAGUCAGAUGUGAAAGCCCGGGGCUCAACCUCGGAAUAGCAUUUGAAACUGGCAGACUAGAGUACUGUAGAGGGGGGUAGAAUUUCAGGUGUAGCGGUGAAAUGCGUAGAGAUCUGAAGGAAUACCGGUGGCGAAGGCGGCCCCCUGGACAGAUACUGACACUCAGAUGCGAAAGCGUGGGGAGCAAACAGGAUUAGAUACCCUGGUAGUCCACGCCGUAAACGAUGUCUACUUGGAGGUUGUGGCCUUGAGCCGUGGCUUUCGGAGCUAACGCGUUAAGUAGACCGCCUGGGGAGUACGGUCGCAAGAUUAAAACUCAAAUGAAUUGACGGGGGCCCGCACAAGCGGUGGAGCAUGUGGUUUAAUUCGAUGCAACGCGAAGAACCUUACCUACUCUUGACAUCCAGAGAACUUUCCAGAGAUGGAUUGGUGCCUUCGGGAACUCUGAGACAGGUGCUGCAUGGCUGUCGUCAGCUCGUGUUGUGAAAUGUUGGGUUAAGUCCCGCAACGAGCGCAACCCUUAUCCUUGUUUGCCAGCGAGUAAUGUCGGGAACUCCAGGGAGACUGCCGGUGAUAAACCGGAGGAAGGUGGGGACGACGUCAAGUCAUCAUGGCCCUUACGAGUAGGGCUACACACGUGCUACAAUGGCGCAUACAGAGGGCGGCCAACUUGCGAAAGUGAGCGAAUCCCAAAAAGUGCGUCGUAGUCCGGAUUGGAGUCUGCAACUCGACUCCAUGAAGUCGGAAUCGCUAGUAAUCGUGGAUCAGAAUGCCACGGUGAAUACGUUCCCGGGCCUUGUACACACCGCCCGUCACACCAUGGGAGUGGGCUGCAAAAGAAGUAGGUAGUUUAACCUUCGGGGGGACGCUUACCACUUUGUGGUUCAUGACUGGGGUGAAGUCGUAACAAGGUAGCGCUAGGGGAACCUGGCGCUGGAUCACCUCCUUAUACGAUGAU